CUUGAAACAGCCUUCGUGUAGUUCUUGUCAAGAGCAAUGGCAAGACUGCAAUCUGCUAUGGCAUCAACAAUUUGACCAAGAGCUUGGUGAGCAGCAGCUCGAUUGCAGAAACAGAUAGCUGCAAAAGGGCGCGACUCAACACUGCUGGAUAUAGCAGCAGUAUAAUGUUCAAUAGCUUCCGUAUAUUUGCCAGAUUUAAAUGCCUCAUUUCCGGCUUUCUUUUGAUGCAAAAGUUCACGGAUAGUGGCUGCUAGAGAAGAUGAUGAUUCCUGGGUCAUGUUUCCAGAUCUUUUCUGAACAGAAACCAAAUGCUCUUGUUUCUCAAUUAAGUCAAG
rnacentral:misc_RNA from 1 species